GACGAACGCUGGCGGCGUGCUUAACACAUGCAAGUCGAACGGAAAGGCCCUGCUUUUGUGGGGUGCUUGAGUGGCGAACGGGUGAGUAACACGUGAGUAACAUGCCCUUGACUUUGGGAUAACUUCAGGAAACUGGGGCUAAUACCGGAUAGGAGCUCCUGCUGCAUGGUGGGGGUUGGAAAGUUUCGGCGGUUGGGGAUGGACUCGCGGCUUAUCAGCUUGUUGGUGGGGUAGUGGCUUACCAAGGCUUUGACGGGUAGCCGGCCUGAGAGGGUGACCGGCCACAUUGGGACUGAGAUACGGCCCAGAAGCCUACGGGAGGCAGCAGUGGGGAAUAUUGCACAAUGGGCGGAAGCCUGUUGCAGCAACGCCGCGUGCGGGAUGACGGCCUUCGGGUUGUAAACCGCUUUCGCCUGUGACGAAGCGUGAGUGACGGUAAUGGGUAAAGAAGCACCGGCUAACUACGUG
rnacentral:rRNA from 1 species